rnacentral:rRNA from 1 species
AGAGUUUGAUCCUGGCUCAGGAUGAACGCUAGCUACAGGCUUAACACAUGCAAGUCGAGGGGCAGCACAGGUAGCAAUACCGGGUGGCGACCGGCGCACGGGUGAGUAACGCGUAUGCAACUUACCUAUCAGAGGGGGAUAACCCGGCGAAAGUCGGACUAAUACCGCAUGAAGCAGGGGCCCCGCAUGGGGAUAUUUGCUAAAGAUUCAUCGCUGAUAGAUAGGCAUGCGUUCCAUUAGGCAGUUGGCGGGGUAACGGCCCACCAAACCGACGAUGGAUAGGGGUUCUGAGAGGAAGGUCCCCCACAUUGGUACUGAGACACGGACCAAACUCCUACGGGAGGCAGCAGUGAGGAAUAUUGGUCAAUGGGCGUAAGCCUGAACCAGCCAAGUCGCGUGAGGGAUGAAGGUUCUAUGGAUCGUAAACCUCUUUUAUAAGGGAAUAAAGUGCGGGACGUGUCCCGUUUUGUAUGUACCUUAUGAAUAAGGAUCGGCUAACUCCGUGCCAGCAGCCGCGGUAAUACGGAGGAUCCGAGCGUUAUCCGGAUUUAUUGGGUUUAAAGGGUGCGUAGGCGGCCUUUUAAGUCAGCGGUGAAAGUCUGUGGCUCAACCAUAGAAUUGCCGUUGAAACUGGGGGGCUUGAGUAUGUUUGAGGCAGGCGGAAUGCGUGGUGUAGCGGUGAAAUGCUUAGAUAUCACGCAGAACCCCGAUUGCGAAGGCAGCCUGCCAAGCCAUGACUGACGCUGAUGCACGAAAGCGUGGGGAUCAAACAGGAUUAGAUACCCUGGUAGUCCACGCAGUAAACGAUGAUCACUAGCUGUUUGCGAUACACUGUAAGCGGCACAGCGAAAGCGUUAAGUGAUCCACCUGGGGAGUACGCCGGCAACGGUGAAACUCAAAGGAAUUGACGGGGGCCCGCACAAGCGGAGGAACAUGUGGUUUAAUUCGAUGAUACGCGAGGAACCUUACCCGGGCUUAAAUUGCACUC